GGGGGAAAAACUCAUCAUUUAGAAUGGUGCUCUGACAUUCACUCCCUUUCUCCCACCAUCCUUCGCCCCAGACUUCCCAAUGACCAAAACCUAAAGGCCAAUUCCUUAAGGUAUGUCUACAGGAUCAGCCACAUUCAUUCCAGGCUGAGGAAACCAACACUUUGGUGCCUCCCUGCCCCCACCUUGGGGAGGCAGCAGUGAGGUGUUUUGUUAGGGAUGUGGGGUUUUUUUUUUAAAGUGAGAUUCCCUAGUUUAACCUAAUCAAUCUGAAAGUCAUAGCUGCAGGGAGAAAGGCUCCCCUGGGACUCUGGGUGGACUUACACAUAUAAAACAUGCCCAGGUAAAGGUCAGAAUCAAAGGACGGCCUCCUACACAAAGUACAGUUUCACUUUUUCUUGGGUCUUCCCUCUAACUACGCCCCAGAGAGAAUGAUGGUGACAAAUACAAAUACAAUCACAGACCCUCAGAACUAAUUUACACUUAUGGAGGUUAAAGCACCCCCCCUUCCACCCAGCACACCCGGGGAUUCUGUGGCAGUGCCAUGGAAACAGCCCCAUACAGAGGUGAGCUGUGAUGUCCUCACCCUCUCCCAGGGAGGAGGUGACCUGAGCUUGCCACCUGAGACAGCAUGGUACAGAAGAAAGACCGAUGGAUUGUGAGUUCAUGGGUUUGGGUCUUAGCUCUAUCAUUGACUAGAUGGAUGAUCUGGGGUGAACUUCUGUACCAAGAGAUAAUAACACGGACACUACCUGCUUCACAGGUUUGUGGCAAGGAUCAAAUAAGAGAAAGUCAAGUGCGUGUAACUGAAAAGUGGUAUAGGAAGUACCACAGGGUCACUAAUGGCCUCUGCUGACUGGCCGACUGGAGAGCAAGGCUGAUCUUCAAGCUCCAGCACUGGGAUGAUGGAGGCAUCCCCACCUGCAAGAGAAAAUAUUCCCUAAGACAAAGACCCUACUACCUGAGAGGAGAUUAGUGACAUUCCGGCCACUUUAUAGUCCCAGAAAUUAUGCCAAGAAAACCAAAGCUCAGUAAAGAAUGAUGAUAACCAACUGUGAACAAGAUAACCUCUUUAAAUACCAAUGUGUAUUUCUAUACUGCCUUCCUAAAGAAACCUGAAAUGAGUUCACAAACUUCCAAUCCUGAGCUUGGCAAGAGAGAGGAAUUACUUUUUUUGUUUCAGAUAUAACAGCUAAGGCAGAGAACAAGUAUGUUUCAGGUGAAAAGUCACUACAUUAGAAAUCCAUAUAUCCUGACUCCCCAUGCCUCAUGCUGUCAGGAUUUAAAUGGACAUUCUGGCUCACAAUGUCACACCUGAACCCUCAAUCCAUACUCAGUGGGCCUUCCCACUCAUGUGACGGUUUUAUUAAACUACUGUUAUGGAGA